CUGAGCUGACAGAUGAUGGAAACGCAUGACGAUCGUAUUACUUGGACGACAUCUAAUAAGAUUAUUCGGAAGGGACAGCAGGACUGCUGAUCUGCUCGCUCUACCGAUCACGGUACGAUCGUCAUUGCAAACCGACCGAUCCAAAGGUUAUCGCCCAGCGGUGUUGCGGUGUGAACUAGGAAAUUGCCCGCAAUCGUGAGUGGGAUUGUUUGAUUACUAUUGAAAUCGUAUUCGAGCAGUCGGACAGGCAGUCGAGCAGUGAUACAGUCCUCUACACAAAAAAGCAGCUACACACAAAGAUCGAUGGACAUGCCUCCCAAGUUGUUGGUAGAGGGGAAAUCCCAUGCAGACGCAUCGGCAACAGCACCAGAACUGGUUUUCUGGUUUGCAUACAAAACAACAGUUGGACUGACGUGUGUUUGUUGCUCGACGCACAGAAGUAUGGACCGGUGUGGACGUAGUCGAAACACUAGCUCUUCGAUCCAAUUAUGUAUUUUUAUCUGGAGAGUUUUAUGACUUUGCUUUUAAGCGAUCCUUUCUCGAUCGGUUAAUACAAAUGAAGCAAGAUUGUGUAAUGAGCUGGCGUGCUGGUUGGUUUAACCAGAAGUAGUUCUUAUUUCCAUAACCAGAAGCGCCUAAUUUACAAUUUAAUAUGAAUAAGUUGGAGAGACAACACCGGCAUGCUGAUCGUUCAGUACAACUCAAGUUUAUUAAACCUUUUUUUGCGAAGUAUAAUUCUACCCCAUGUAGCUACAUAUACCUUACGCUCUAUUACACUACGUUCGUUCUAAUUUACAUACAGCAACGAACUAUCUUUCAU